rnacentral:rRNA from 1 species
UACGUAGGGUGCGAGCGUUAAUCGGAAUUACUGGGCGUAAAGUGUGCGCAGGCGGCCGAGCAAGUCGAGUGUGAAAGCCCCGAGCUUAACUUGGGAACUGCGCUCGAAACUACUUGGCUAGAGUGUGGCAGAGGGAGGUGGAAUUCCACGUGUAGCGGUGAAAUGCGUAGAGAUGUGGAGGAACACCGAUGGCGAAGGCAGCCUCCUGGGCCGAACACUGACGCUCAUGCACGAAAGCGUGGGGAGCAAACAGG